GGAGAAUCGACAGCCCCCAUGUUCAUGCUCAGUAGGAGAGAAUAGUGUUAAUGACAGCUGAAGACCAUCAUUAGCAGCCAAUGAAAAGAUUUUAUCACAAUGGCUUCAGACAUUUUUAAAAGGGUCCUCUGCCCUUGGAUUUCUUUUGUUCAGACCCAUCUUGUCAAACAUUGAUGCGGAUUUAUCUUUGAAACAACACGCUUUGAUCCUCUGCUGCUGGAGAGUGUAUGUCUCUGAAGGGGCUCCAGCCCAAGGGGAGCGUCUCCUGCUGUGAUUCCCAUCAGAGACCCUGGCUGUGGGGUUGUGCGAACACUAUGGUUUUAGCAGCGUGCUGGUUCACCGGGCCUUUCAUGCCCCCCAGGGAGCUGGUGUCUACUGGGAUGGCUGUUUGAUUCACCAGCUUGACCUUGACUCCAGGCAGUAAUCACAAUAUGGCUCCUCAUGGUGUUUGUGCACACGGGUUUCGGGGGGGGGGGGGGCAAAAGAA